rnacentral:rRNA from 1 species
AUCCUGGCUCAGGACGAACGCUGGCGGCGUGCUUAACACAUGCAAGUCGAACGAGAAUCUGCGGAACGAGGAUUCGUCCAAGUGAAGCAGAGGACAGUGGCGGACGGGUGAGUAACGCGUGAGGAACCUGCCUUUCAGAGGGGGACAACAGUUGGAAACGACUGCUAAUACCGCAUAACACAGUGGGUGUCGCAUGGCACUGAUGUACAAAGUAUUUAUCGCUAGAAAGAGUCGG